rnacentral:rRNA from 1 species
CCUGGCUCAGGAUGAACGCUGGCGGUGUGCCUAAUACAUGCAAGUCGAUCGGGCGUAGCAAUACGUCAGAGGCGUACGGGUGAGUAACACGUAGGUAACCUACCUUUAAGACUGGGAUACCCAGACGAAAGUUUGGCUAAUACCGGAUAACAACAUUUGAGACAUCUCUUUUGUUUGAAAGGCGCUGCAAGGCGCCACUUUUAGAUGGACCUGCGUCGCAUUAGCUAGUUGGUGAGAUAAAAGCCCACCAAGGCUGGGAUGCGUAGCCGAUCUGAGAGGAUGACCGGCCACAAUGGGACUGAGACACGGCCCAUACUCCUACGGGAGGCAGCAGUAGGGAGUUUUCGGCAAUGGGGGAAACCCUGACCGAGCAACACCGCGUGAGUGAUUGAAGGUCUUCGGAUCGUAAAGCUCUGUUACGAGGGACGAAUGAUCGCUUUAGGAAAUGAGAGCGGUUUGACGGUACCUCGCCAGAAAGCGACGGCUAACUACGUGCCAGCCGCCGC